GAUGAACGCUGGCGGCGUGCCUAAUACAUGCAAGUCGAGCGAACGGACGAGAAGCUUGCUUCUCUGAUGUUAGCGGCGGACGGGUGAGUAACACGUGGAUAACCUACCUAUAAGACUGGGAUAACUUCGGGAAACCGUAGCUAAUACCGGAUAAUAUUUUGAACCGCAUGGUUCAAAAGUGAAAGACGGUCUUGCUGUCACUUAUAGAUGGAUCCGCGCUGCAUUAGCUAGUUGGUAAGGUAACGGCUUACCAAGGCAACGAUGCAUAGCCGACCUGAGAGGGUGAUCGGCCACACUGGAACUGAGACACGGUCCAGACUCCUAAGGGAGGCAGCAGUAGGGAAUCUUCCGCAGUGGGCGAAAGCCUGACGGAGCAACGCCGCGUGAGUGAUGAAGGUCUUCGGAUCGUAAAACUCUGUUAUUAGGGAAGAACAUAUGUGUAAGUAACUGUGCACAUCUUGACGGUACCUAAUCAGAAAGCCACGGCUAACUACGU
rnacentral:rRNA from 1 species